UACGUAGGUGGCAAGCGUUUGUCCGGAUUUAUUGGGUUUAAAGGGUGCGUAGGCGGUCCCAUAAGUCAGUGGUGAAAUACUCUAGCUCAACUAGAGGGGUGCCAUUGAUACUGCGGGACUUGAGUGAAGUCGAAGUAGGCGGAAUUGACGGUGUAGCGGUGAAAUGCUUAGAUAUCGUCAAGAACACCGAUAGUGAAGACAGCUUACUAGACUUAUACUGACGCUGAGGCACGAAAAGUGUGGGGAUCAAACAGG
rnacentral:rRNA from 1 species